AUUGAACGCUGGCGGCAGGCCUAACACAUGCAAGUCGAACGGUAACAGGAAGAAGCUUGCUUCUUUGCUGACGAGUGGCGGACGGGUGAGUAAUGUCUGGGAAACUGCCUGAUGGAGGGGGAUAACUACUGGAAACGGUAGCUAAUACCGCAUAACGUCGCAAGACCAAAAAGGGGGACCUUCGGGCCUCUUGCCAUCGGAUGUGCCCAGAUGGGAUUAGCUAGUAGGUGGGGUAACGGCUCACCUAGGCGACGAUCCCUAGCUGGUCUGAGAGGAUGACCAGCCACACUGGAACUGAGACACGGUCCAGACUCCUACGGGAGGCAGCAGUGGGGAAUAUUGCACAAUGGGCGAAAGCCUGAUGCAGCCAUGCCGCGUGUAUGAAGAAGGCCUUCGGGUUGUAAAGUACUUUCAGCGGGGAGGAAGGGAGUAAAGUUAAUACCUGUGCUCAUUGACGUUACCCGCAGAAGAAGCACCGGCUAACUCCGUG
rnacentral:rRNA from 1 species